CUAGAGUUUCUUCUACGAAUAAUUGCGAAUAUACGAAAUAUGCGAAUUUUCGGAAGUGAGUAUUUCCAACACCAACAAGUGUAUUCGACCGCGCCUGCACUUGACCGGCAAUGGCAAGCUCAAUUAUUGAACUUUCGCCGUGGCCUUCAUAUCUCGUCCCAGUGGGCAACUGCCGCCGGCGCAGCUUUCACGCGUGCUAUUGGUAUUGUACUCGAUCGGAAUUGUGACAAAUAGAUCGUCGCUUUAAUAAAAAAAAACAUACAUAUAAA